rnacentral:misc_RNA from 1 species
AUUUUAGCAUGGAAUACUGAGUCAAGGAUUUCUCCUUCUUCCAUGGAUAGUCCCAAUUAUUGUUCAAAUAUAUGCGGAGGUAAAGCAUGAACAUCAAUUGGAUUGUUUUAUUUUUUGUGGACAAUUUUGUCAACACAGUGAAAAUAAUUUAGAAACAAGUAACUAAAUAGCAAAUCAAAUAUAUGAAUCUAAUUCAUAAUAUAGAUGCUUCUUUCCUUUAUAAAUAUACAAAGGACUGGUGAAAAUAAUUCCUUGUUAUACAGGAACGUUUG